rnacentral:lncRNA from 1 species
AAUACAUUCCAGAAGGAGGGAAGGAAAUCCUGGGCGUAUGAAUGAGAUUCUACGGCCUGCGUGGAGCGGCGCUCUGGGCUGCUCCUCCCAUCCCCGCAUGGAAAGUUAGGCGUUUCUAGCCACAUUAAUUCAUCCUAAAGGAAAAGAGGCGACAGCGGAGCAGCGUGCGCGCGGGGGAAAACACCCGCCCACGCGUGCCUUCGCCAACGCAAAGACGCAGCUCACACCCGUAACCGAGGAAGAGGGAGGCUCCCGCCGCGCUCACUUCCUGCGGGAGAGAGGAAAGACAUCUUGCGGCAGGGAGGCCGGUGGCAGUUCCGCCCCUGGACCGGCCGGCAGCGGAGCGCACCCCGCCGCCACCUACGUGGCGCUGCCUGCUCGGGUGGCGCAGCGAGUAAAGGCCACCCCCGCCGUGCCCCGCGGUCCCCGGCCUUCCCACGGACGCCUGGCCCGGCCCGGGCGAGGGGCGACCGGGGUGAAGCCCGCCGCGCCCCGGGCCCUGCGGCAGGGCGACUCCGGGAGGCACAGGGCGCGCGAGGUGCAGGGGCGCGCAGGCCGCCGCCGGGUCACCCACCUUUCGCACUCUGCGGGCCGUGUAGAGCCCCAUGCCGUCCUGAACCCGGGAGGACUUCAGGGAGAACCUGUCCGGCACGUACAUGCCCAGCAUUUUCCCGGGCGCGGCGGCCGCCGCCUCUCUCAACACCGGCGCUUAGCGCCCGGCAGGCGGCACAUCGAAAUUUGGGGUGCCAGGGUAGAGGGGAGAAACCGGCAGGGAAGGAGGAAAUGGAGUUUUCCUCCCAGAAUCCCCACCUCCCUGCCGAUUCCAGGAUCCCCCGCGGCUCAGCCCCUCCUCGUCCCGGGUCGGGCUCGGCCCGGAUCCGUUCCUGCCAUUCCUGCUGCGGGGGCGCGGGGGGCGCGGGCCUGGGCGCUGCGGGCGCCGGGACGCCGCUCGCUGAUUGGCCCGAAGUUGGCGGCUCUGACCCGCGCCCGGGCGCGAAGCCCGGAGCAGGGCUGACCCCAGGGCCUCAAACCCGGAGGCCCGCGAGCUGCGCGGGCCGUCAGCACCCCUAGCCCCGGCGCGGCGGCGUGCGUUCCCGCCUUUGUCCAGCUCUGGGUUUUCAAACCUUGCCCCGCUGAACCAUUACUCCCUGUAGGGGAGUCUCGCUUGCUUCUCUUCAGAUGCAAAACGAAAUGGACCUUCACACAGCUGGGGCAUCCUCCAAAACAACUUUAUCAAGUUCCUGACUCUGAAAGCCAGCUUAUUGCCGACUACUGAGAACGAACCCUGCGGUCUAGGAAAUUUCCGUGCUUCUCACAUUUGAGUUAUGCGUCUUUGCUUUUUUUCACGUUUGUUGCAGAGGCUAGAACUUAAUAAGGGAUCGCAAAGUAUGUUGAUUAACGUACGGAAAAAUAUGUUGCAAACAAUUUAAUGUUUUAAGCACUAGAAACUAGAUAUUUUAUGGUAACAUAACCUCUGGGAAGUUCUUAUACUUCUCAAGGUACAAUAUUCCUGAGACCUCCCUUGCUUGAUAAUCAUUAGACGUAUUACGGAUUUUCAGACAUACGGAAGUGGAUUUGUGGGAGACAGGAGGGGACACCCAAACAAUAGCAUCUGGUGUCACAACAAUGCAAUAAAGUCACAAGUCUUGUUUUAGUGUUUUUAA